GGGUUGGUAGCUCAGUGGAUCAUAGCUCAUGGUUCCAGACCAUGAAUUCAAGGGUUAAAAUCCCUUCUAGCCCA
rfam:Picea glauca, whole genome shotgun sequence.